UACGUAGGUGGCGAACGUCAUCCGGAAUUACUGGGCGUAAAGGGUCCGUAGGCGGGCGCGUCAGUCUGCUGUGAAAGCUUCCGGCUCAACUGGAAGAAGCCAGCAGACACUGCGCGUCUGGAAUCCGGCAGAGGUCGGCAGAAUUCCCGGUGUAGUGGUGGAAUGCGUAGAGAUCGGGAGGAAUACCGAAGGCGAAGGCCGCCGGCUGGGUCGAGAUUGACGCUGAGGGACGAAAGCGUGGGGAGCAAACAGG
rnacentral:rRNA from 1 species